CUUAAAAAUGAAACACCACCUCACGCCUGUACUUUAUACCAUCGCGACAACUUGACAGUCGACUUUUGCAGAAUCGGAGUUAUAAGGAUCGCUUCACUUAGGACACACCCCGCUCUCCACCCCCGUUUCCCGCUCCCUGUGAAACGUGAAGGUUGAGGAAACAUUUAGUCCAUAUUAUCAAAAACGGAAAGAAUUUUCUUUUGAUCAGGAAGGUUAAAAAAUGCGUUUAGACAAACUAACCAAAGAUUUUUAAACAAAUGCAGCGUGGCGGGGUGCGGAGCCUAUCCGGUGAGCUACCGGCACAAGUUGGUACAGAAAAUGGAUGGAUGGAUUUUAAAAUCCAGUCGAUUUUUUUGCAAAGUGGGGCAACGCAGUGUACUGGUGAGCCCACUCGAGUACGAGUGACAAAAGAGAAUCUAGACUUUUCCAAGCGGAUCGAAAAUCAUGCAUUUGUUGAGACAUUAUAGGCUAGGUGUAUGUGUGCGUGUUCAGUGGGCAACAUUCCUCAGGUUGAACUGUCACGAGAGCUUCAUGUUUGUCCGGUUUUAGAAAGCUACAUAUUACACAAUUUAAUCCCGCCCAUUUGAUUAUUUUAUCCUCUAUAGCGACGGGUACAUUUUUAAAGCAUCGGAACAAUACAGUGUACCUGAAUAUUUUUCCACAUAAUAUUCUAUUACAACACAUUAGCCGACCAAUGCAAUACAAACUGUGGCUAGUUAUGUGUAUUGCAUAUUAUUUAUUUACAUUAAAUUCACAAUUGUGAACAGUUAUCCUACGCCAUGCAAAUCUGAAAAUAUAUUUCUUCUUCAGAUCAGAUUUUCAGAUAAGUGCAAAUGUCAGGUAUGAAACAAAUGAACUAUGAAUUCACAUCUUGCAAAGAUUUAGUUCUGAAAGAAAAAGUCCAGGUCCACCUAUCUUCUCAGUUCCAUCCCAGGUUAACUAACACGUCCUCCCGUCCAUGUUUCUUAGUCUAGAUAUCUUCUCCAUACCCUCUAUGCAUGAAUAUAUAUGUCUUAUGAUAACUCUUGACGGACAUAACAGGAAGAAAACGUGUUAAAUUUCUGGAGAGCUACCUGCAGGCUUGACCACAGGUACACAGUGACUUACCUCGGUGGGUGGCAGUCUGCUAUAUUGCAGUGAAGGAAAGGUGAAGCCUGACACCUCUGUGCAGCGGUAUUUGCAUGCAGGUCUACCUCGCUAUCCCCCUUGACCCUAUACUGAUAAGCAGUUGAAGCCUGGCUGAAGGGGUUGCAUGGAUGGGUCUCAAUCCACCUGUCGGGUAUAACUUGUAAAAUUUUACUCUUUAAUUGAAAUGAAGUUGAAAUGCUUGCGAUAAUGAUUUUUUUGCUUUGUUUCUUCGAACUGUCGCUUCCAAAAGACACUGAGGAAUUUCCCUUCGUUGGCCCAAACAGCACGGCCACGGCUGUCAAGCACAGGCGACUCAGCUGCUCCCUCGCUCCGCUUUGGUAGCUGAACCGCCGGAAAGAACAAGCAGACAAGCCACUCGGAUGCUGUAUUAGCCACCAUCUGCCACCAUGUUGAUAUUGUGGCUUUGGAAUUUUUCAGUUCUAAGUCAUUUACUAGAAAACACCAAGAAUUAUAAUUGGACUGUCUUUCAACGUGCAUAAAGAGCAGUUGUCAUGGUGUCAGUUCUGAUUACAUGUGCUUAGAAGACAAAUCUCACAAAGAUCUAAUCAUAGAUAAUAAUAUAAUAUAUAAAUCAUUUAAGCUUAUAAGUGUAGGUUAUCUGUGUAAUGCUUAUCUGUGUAAUAUAUCUAAACACACCUAUUCUGUUAACUGUAUGGAAAUUGCUAGGUUCACUUCUGGUGGUUUGGGAAAGGAGACUUUUGGAAGAAACGAAUUGUCUUAACUUGUGAGUUUUAAUUCUUGGAACCUUUGGAUGGACAUCGAAGGUACUGUUGGGCAAACACUGUGGUAUUUAUGAUAGUUGGCUGCUUUGAAUUGAAAACAAAGACGACAAACGUUGUUUUCUGUUGAAUCGCGAAUGAGAUUCUCACCAAGCUUCUGCUCCACUUGCCUUCAUAGACCCACGGGAACAGCGGUGAGCGUAGCUUCCCAUACGGUAACGCUGGCCCUUUUCCAUGACACUUAUGCUCACCACAGCACGGAGCACGGAACGCUUGGGGCACAGAACACUCACGAUCCAGAGAACCGCAAGCAUGGGUUAAUAUGCAUGACCGAGCUGUUUUAUGUGAUAUGACAACCAAUAGACUGAAAAGGAGAAAGUACUGAAGAAAAUCUGUGAAAAUAAAAUGAAGCAUAGUCAAGUGUGCCGAGAAUGUAUCAUACUGCUAUACAUCUAUUCUGACCCAUAGGACUGUUCCUGGCUGCACUGGUCAUACUGCAUUUCCAUUCUUUAUACUGGGAAUCUUAACCUGAACCUGUCACUGAAUUAUCAGAUCAGUAGAAUGUUUCAGUUCAGUGUUCAGUGCUGUGUCCAUCAUCCCAUAUAAAGCAUCCUCAAUUUGUUUUGUGCUGCUGAAAAAAAAAAUCAUAUGAGGAUUUUUUUUAGAUCUAUCAUGCACUACAAUGAUAAAUACAAUACAUAUGCAUGGGAAAAACUUUAUUUAAAGCUAUUAAAGUUUUCUAAUGGCUGUGCCCCUU